GUCGAGCGGGGGAAGGNAGCUUGCUACCGGACCUAGCGGCGGACGGGUGAGUAAUGCUUAGGAAUCUGCCUAUUAGUGGGGGACAACAUCUCGAAAGGGAUGCUAAUACCGCAUACGUCCUACGGGAGAAAGCAGGGGAUCUUCGGACCUUGCGCUAAUAGAUGAGCCUAAGUCGGAUUAGCUAGUUGGUGGGGUAAAGGCCUACCAAGGCGACGAUCUGUAGCGGGUCUGANAGGAUGAUCCGCCACACUGGGACUGAGACACGGCCCAGACUCCUACGGGAGGCAGCAGUGGGGAAUAUUGGACAAUGGGGGGAACCCUGAUCCAGCCAUGCCGCGUGUGUGAAGAAGGCCUUAUGGUUGUAAAGCACUUUAAGCGAGGAGGAGGCUACUUUAGUUAAUACCUAGAGAUAGUGGACGUUACUCGCAGAAUAAGCACCGGCUAACUCUGUGCCAGCAGCCGCGGUAAUACAGAGGGUGCGAGCGUUAAUCGGAUUUACUGGGCGUAAAGCGUGCGUAGGUGGCUUAUUAAGUCGGAUGUGAAAUCCCCGAGCUUAACUUGGGAAUUGCAUUCGAUACUGGUGAGCUAGAGUAUGGGAGAGGAUGGUAGAAUUCCAGGUGUAGCGGUGAAAUGCGUAGAGAUCUGGAGGAAUACCGAUGGCGAAGGCAGCCAUCUGGCCUAAUACUGACGCUGAGGUACGAAAGCAUGGGGAGCAAACAGGAUUAGAUACCCUGGUAGUCCAUGCCGUAAACGAUGUCUACUAGCCGUUGGGGCCUUUGAGGCUUUAGUGGNNCAGCUAACGCNAUAAGUAGACCGCCUGGGGAGUACGGNCGCAAGAC
rnacentral:rRNA from 1 species